rnacentral:rRNA from 1 species
UACGUAGGGACCGCGCGUUGUCCGGAAUCAUUGGGCGUAAAGAGCGUGUAGGCGGCCCGGUAAGUCCGCUGUGAAAGUCCAGGGCUCAACCCUGGGAUGCCGGUGGAUACUGUCGGGCUCGAGUCCGGAAGAGGAGUGUGGAAUUCCUGGUGUAGCGGUGAAAUGCGCAGAUAUCAGGAGGAACACCAAUGGCGAAGGCAGCACUCUGGGACGUGACUGACGCUGAGACGCGAAAGCGUGGGGAGCAAACAGG